GGAAGUAGCUACUGCACUGGUGGCAGUCCUGGUCUUCAAAACCAGUGGGGGGCGUUAGUAGCGUCCCCGGUGGGUUCGAUUCCCAUCUACUUCCGCCA
rnacentral:tRNA from 1 species